rnacentral:lncRNA from 1 species
UUGCAUGUUUUCUUAUUGUAUUUUUUUAAUAUUUAUAUUGUCCUGUUGAACGAUCUGACGCUAUAAAUACAUAAUUGCUGGAUGAUCUGUCGGUAUGUGCUUGGUAAUGGAUCAUUUGUCGCUGAAACUUGGCAACAGACUAUCUGUCACUAUAGAUUUUCAGAGCGUCAGAUGAUCUGUCGCUCAAGGUACUAUGUGACGUUAAAGAUUUUUACCGGUAGGACUUACACCGGCAGCAGAAGUCUGUCGCUAUAGGAUUUUAGUGUCAGAUCGUUUGCCCCCGUAACCGCUUUUGCCGUCAGAUCAUCCAUUGCUAG